rnacentral:rRNA from 1 species
CAGCCGCCGCGGGAAUACGAAGGGGGCUAGCGUUGCUCGGAAUUACUGGGCGUAAAGGGAGCGUAGGCGGAUCGUUAAGUUGGGGGUGAAAGCCCGGGGCUCAACCUCGGAACUGCCCUCAAUACUGGCGAUCUUGAGUAUGAGAGAGGUGUGUGGAACUCCGAGUGUAGAGGUGAAAUUCGUAGAUAUUCGGAAGAACACCAGUGGCGAAGGCGACACACUGGCUCAUUACUGACGCUGAGGCUCGAAAGCGUGGGGAGCAAACAGGAUUAGAUACCCCAGUAGUCCCUGUCUCUUAUAC